UAAUACGGAGGGUGCAAGCGUUGUUCGGAAUUAUUGGGCGUAAAGCGCGCGCAGGCGGCUAUUUAAGUCUGAUGUGAAAGCCCCGGGCUCAACCUGGGAAGUGCAUCGGAUACUGGGUAGCUUGAGUACGGGAGAGGGAAGCGGAAUUCCGAGUGUAGGGGUGAAAUCCGUAGAUAUUCGGAGGAACACCAGUGGCGAAGGCGGCUUCCUGGACCGAUACUGACGCUGAGGCGCGAAAGCGUGGGGAGCAAACAGGAUUAGAUACCCUGGUAGUCCACGCCGUAAACGAUGGGCACUAGGUGUCGCGGGUAUUGACCCCUGCGGUGCCGAAGCUAACGCAUUAAGUGCCCCGCCUGGGGAGUACGGCCGCAAGGCUA
rnacentral:rRNA from 1 species